rnacentral:rRNA from 1 species
GUACGGGAGGCAGCAGUGGGGAAUAUUGGACAAUGGGGGCAACCCUGAUCCAGCAAUGCCGCGUGUGUGAAGAAGGCCUUAGGGUUGUAAAGCACUUUAGGCUGGGAAGAAGAUAUCUGGUUUAAGAGAUGAGAUAUUUGACUGUACCGGCAGAAUAAGCACCGGCUAACUCCGUGCCAGCAGCCGCGGUAAUACAGAGGGUGCGAGCGUUAAUCGGAAUUACUGGGCGUAAAGGGCGCGUAGGUGGUUAUGUAAGAUUGAUGUGAAAUCCCUGGGCUUAACCUAGGAACCGCAUCGAUGACUGCAUAGCUGGAGUACUGUAGAGGGUAGUAGAAUUUCCGGUGUAGCGGUGAAAUGCGUAGAGAUCGGAAGGAAUACCAGUGGCGAAGGCGGCUACCUGGACAGAUACUGACACUGAGGCGCGAGAGCGUGGGGAGCAAACAGGAUUAGAUACCCCCGUAGUCCU